AUUGAACGCUGGCGGCAUGCUUUACACAUGCAAGUCGAAUGGCAGCAGGAAAGAGCUUGCUCUUUUGGUGGAGAGUGGCGAAAGGGUGAGUAAAGCAUCCGAACGUACCGAGUAAUGGGGGAUAACUAUCCGAAAGGAUAGCAAAUACCGCAUACGCUCUGAGAAGGAAAGUGGGGGCUGGUCGGACCUCACGUUAUUCGAGCGGCCGAUGUCGGAUUAGCUAGUUGGUGGGGUGGAGGCUUGCCGAGGCGACGAUAGGUAGCGGGUCUGAGAGGAUGAUCCGCCGCGCUGGGGCUGGGGCACGGCCCUGGCUCCUGCGGGUGGCGGCGGUGGGGGGUUUUGGACGGUGGGCGCGGGCCUGAUCCGGCCGUGCCGCGUGU
rnacentral:rRNA from 1 species